CGCAGCGCAGCCGCCCGGAACUGACAGCACGUGCAGUCCAUCAGGUGGGCGUCCCCCUCUUCCCUUGCCCUUCUCUGCACGGUAACUCCGUCCCUCGGCAUUUCUCAAUACCCCUUGCCCCUAGAUCCAAGCCUGUCUCUUGAGGAACAACCGCGCAGACCCUGCCUCUUCUGACCACACGACCCGCCUUCAGCCACUUGGUCUGGUCUCAGACCCCUCAGAGCAGGAAGUGAAUGAAUUGUGUCAGUCGGUGCAGGAGCAUGUGGAGCUGCUGGGCUGUGGGGCUGGGCCCCAGGGUGAAGCCGCUGUGCGCCAGGCCGAGGAUGCCAUCCAAAAUGCCAACUUCUCUCUCAGCAUUCUCCCCAUUCUAUAUGAAGCUGGAAGCUCCCCAAGCCAUCACUGGCAGCUUGGGCAGAAGCUGGAGGGCCUUCUGAGACAGGUGGGCGAGGUCUGCCGCCAGGACAUCCAGGUGAGAGGGUACUCCUGCCCCAACCCCACCUCCGUUUGCAGGUUUGACUCCCAUCCUUUAGUUUUAACUGUGAUAUCCCCUGACUCAAUAUUCUGUUGGAGUUGGAGCCUCAAGCCAGCAGCCUGGUGUCUGGCCACAUCCUCACCAUGCUCUGACUGACCUUUGUCUAGGACUUCACUCAGGCCACACUGGACACAGCAAGGAGCCUCUGCCCACAGAUGCUGCAGGGAUCCAGCUGGAGGGAGCAGCUAGAGGGGGUCCUGGCAGGCUCGAGGGGCCUCCCGGAGCUGCUCCCAGAGCAGCUGCUGCAAGAUGCCUUCACUAGGCUCAGGGACAUGCGGCUAUCAAUCACGGGGACCUUGGCAGAGAGCAUUGUGGCUCAGGCUUUGGCAGGCCUGAGUGCAGCCCGGGAUCAGCUG
rnacentral:lncRNA from 10 species